GCUUCAUUUUAAAGGCCUGAGCUCAAAGCUAAACAUGCCAUGUCACAAACUUCAUGGCGUGUCACAUUUUAACUAUGAUUUUGGUGACACCAAGGCAGCUAAAAUUUCAUCUCGUGGUUUCAAGUGUCAGGCUGGAGUGGAUGCAUUCUAAUGAGAAACUAAAUGUGCCAGCCAGGACAAGCUUCUGAUGGCCCACACCCCCUGUCCUGAUAACAGUCAGGUUGCCCCUAGAAGAUCAAUCUUGUUUGCAAGGAUUUCAACAGGAAGUGACUUAAAAUUCCUUUAGCAUUCCUCAACACUGAAACAGGUCAGACCAGAAGCUGUCGACAGAACACUCGCCCCUGAAAUGGCACCUCCACCACUCAGCUGAAUUCCACCCCUACCGCAUAUCUCUGAUGUCAAUGAACUUUGGAUGCAAGUAGCUCAGGACAUUUUUGUCUUUUUCUUAUCUUAUUCUGGGAAUUCUUCAUAUAACAGAGAAGUU